rnacentral:ncRNA from 1 species
GGGGUCCUUUGGGCCCUAUAAUAUGCAAGACCCAACUGUUUUGCACAUAAAACGGAAGACAGAAA